rnacentral:tRNA from 1 species
GCGCCCGUAGCUCAAUUGGAUAGAGUAACUGGCUUCGAACCAGUAGGUUGGGGGUUCGAGUCCCUCCGGGCGUACCA